UACCAGCACCCCGAGUGGUCGGGACGAUUAUUGGGCCUAAAGCAUCCGUAGCCGGUUCUACAAGUCUUCCGUUAAAUCCACCUGCUUAACAGAUGGGCUGCGGAGGAUACUAUGGAGCUAGGAGGCGGGAGAGGCAAGCGGUACUUAGUGGGUAGGGGUAAAAUCCGUUGAUCCAUUGAAGACCACCAGUGGCGAAGGCGGCUUGCCAGAACGCACUCGA
rnacentral:rRNA from 1 species